rnacentral:rRNA from 1 species
UACGGGGGGGGCAAGCGUUGUUCGGAAUUACUGGGCGUAAAGGGCUCGUAGGCGGCCAACUAAGUCAGACGUGAAAUCCCCAGGCUCAACCUGGGAACUGCGUCUGAUACUGGUUGGCUUGAAUCCGGGAGAGGGAUGCAGAAUUCCAGGUGUAGCGGUGAAAUGCGUAGAUAUGUGGAGGAACACCGAUGGCGAAGGCAGCCCCCUGGGUUAACACUGACGCUCAUGCACGAAAGCGUGGGGAGCAAACAGG